GACAAACGCUGGCGGCGUGCCUAACACAUGCAAGUCGAGCGAUGAAACUCCUUCGGGAGUGGAUUAGCGGCGGACGGGUGAGUAACACGUGGGUAACCUGCCUCAUAGAGAGGGAUAGCCUUCCGAAAGGAAGAUUAAUACCUCAUAAGAUUGUAGUUUCGCAUGAAACGGCAAUAAAAGGAGCAAUCCGCUAUGAGAUGGACCCGCGUCGCAUUAGCUAGUUGGUAAGGUAAUGGCUUACCAAGGCGACGAUGCGUAGCCGACCUGAGAGGGUGAUCGGCCACAUUGGGACUGAGACACGGCCCAGACUCCUACGGGAGGCAGCAGUGGGGAAUAUUGCACAAUGGGGGAAACCCUGAUGCAGCAACGCCGCGUGAGUGAUGACGGUCUUCGGAUUGUAAAACUCUGUCUUUGGGGACGAUAAUGACGGUACCCAAGGAGGAAGCCCCGGCUAACUUCGUGCCAGCAGCCGCCGCAGUAA
rnacentral:rRNA from 1 species